rnacentral:rRNA from 1 species
AACGAACGCUGGCGGCAGGCUUAACACAUGCAAGUCGAACGCCCUCUUCGGAGGGAGUGGCAGACGGGUGAGUAACGCGUGGGAACCUACCUUAAGGUACGGAAUAACACAGAGAAAUUUGUGCUAAUACCGUAUGUGCCCGAGAGGGGAAAGAUUUAUCGCCUUUAGAUGGGCCCGCGUUGGAUUAGCUAGUUGGUGAGGUAACGGCUCACCAAGGCGACGAUCCAUAGCUGGUUUGAGAGGAUGAUCAGCCACACUGGGACUGAGACACGGCCCAGACUCCUACGGGAGGCAGCAGUGGGGAAUAUUGGACAAUGGGGGAAACCCUGAUCCAGCCAUGCCGCGUGAGUGAUGAAGGCCUUAGGGUUGUAAAGCUCUUUCGCUGGGGAAGAUAAUGACGGUACCCAGUAAAGAAGCCCCGGCUAACUUCGUGCCAGCCGCCGCCGUAACAC